rnacentral:rRNA from 1 species
GAUGAACGCUGGCGGCGUGCCUAAUACAUGCAAGUCGAGCGAACAGACGAGGAGCUUGCUCCUCUGACGUUAGCGUCGGACGGGUGAGUAACACGUGGAUAACCUACCUAUAAGACUGGGAUAACUUCGUGAAACCGGUGCUAAUACCGGAUAAUAUAUUGAACCGCAUGGUUCAAUAGUGAAAGACGGUUUUGCUUUCACUUAUCGCUGGAUCCGCUCCGCAUUAGCUAGUUGGUCAGGUAACGGCUUACCAAGGCAACGAUGCGUAGCCGACCUGAGAGGGUGAUCGGCCACACUGGAACUGAGACACGGUCCAGACUCCUACGGGAGGCAGCAGUAGGGAAUAUUCCGCAAUGGGCGAAAGCCUGACGGAGCAACGCCGCGUGAGUGAUGAAGGUCUUCGGAUCGUAAAACUCUGUUAUUAGGGAAGAACAAAUGUGUAAGUAACUAUGCACGUAUUGACGGUACCUAAUCAGAAAGCAACGGCUAACUACGUG